rnacentral:rRNA from 1 species
GAUGAACGCUGGCGGCGUGCUUAACACAUGCAAGUCGAACGAAGCACUUUAACCUGAUUCUUCGGAUGAAGGUUUUUGUGACUGAGUGGCGGACGGGUGAGUAACGCGUGGGUAACCUGCCUCAUACAGGGGGAUAACAGUUAGAAAUGACUGCUAAUACCGCAUAAGACCACAGAGCCGCACGGCUCGGUGGGAAAAACUCCGGUGGUAUGAGAUGGACCCGCGUCUGAUUAGGUAGUUGGUGGGGUAACGGCCUACCAAGCCAACGAUCAGUAGCCGACCUGAGAGGGUGACCGGCCACAUUGGGACUGAGACACGGCCCAAACUCCUACGGGAGGCAGCAGUGGGGAAUAUUGCACAAUGGGGGAAACCCUGAUGCAGCGACGCCGCGUGAGCGAAGAAGUAUUUCGGUAUGUAAAGCUCUAUCAGCAGGGAAGAAAAUGACGGUACCUGACGAAGAAGCACCGGCUAAAUACGUG